rnacentral:lncRNA from 1 species
CAUGGCAAUGCCAGCCAUGUUCCUACAGGAAACUGGAGAGGAGGACAGGAAGUGGGAGGGUGCAAGGCUCGCCUGCAGGUAUUUAAAGGCAGGCAAGCCAAGAUGGAAGACAACUUCAAUAUGGCUCCUGGUGGGCUCUGCAGCACAGAGCUCAUAUGAUACAAUACACCUAAAGCACUAUUAUAUAUCUUUAACAGCCACAGCUUCCCCCAAAGAAUCCUGGAAACUGUAGUUAGUUAAAGGUUCCUAGAGUUGUUAGGAGAUUCCCAAUUUCUCUCACAGAGCUACAGUUCUCAGAAUGGUUUAACAACCAGUCCUCUUUCCUGGGGAGCUCUGGAAACUGUAGCUCUGUGAGGGGAAUAAGGGCUGACUACUUUUAGCACCCUUAACAAAUUACAGUUCCCAGGAUUCUGUGUGGGAAGCCAUGACUCUUUUAAGCGUAUGUUGUGGAUGGAUGGAGAGAGAGUGAGAGAAUGAGAGAGGGGGGGAGGAGAAAUGGGUUACUCAACCCCCACCUAUCUAGGGCCCGAAACUUAGAAACACAAAGCUGUGACUCAAACCUAUUAAUGUGUGUAGAGCAAUUAAUUGUCCCAUCUUAAGAAUGGGGACAUACAGUGGUACCUCGGGUUACAUAUGCUUCAGGUUACAUAUGCUUCAGGUUACAGACUCUGCUAACCCAGAAAUAGUACUUCAGGUUAAGAACUUUGCUUCAGGAUGAGAACAAAAAUCGUGCUCUGGAGGCGCGGCGGCAGCAGGAGGCCCCAUUAGCUAAAGUGGUGCUUCAGGUUAAGAACAGUUUCAGGUUAAGUACGGACCUCCGAAACGAAUUAAGUACUUAACCUGAGGUACCACUAUAUUCAGUUCCUUUUGGCGAAACUAAGAAGUUAUUUUAAAAUGAUAACGUUCCCCUGAAGAAGUACAGUUGCAGUUCAGAAUUCAGGCAUAGAACUCACUGAAAACAACUGACAUCAGAACAAUUUCAUGGACCUUAUUACCUCAUGACCUGAAUGGUUAGCAACUUGCCCUUCAGCUCAUGGAAUGACAGCAGCGCCAAUUACACAACUAUUGGCUACAAAAAAUGCAAGGGGGCAGCUCAUCCUGGAUGCAGGAGUCCUCCACUUAUGCUUCAUAAUAUGCAUAUACCGUAUUUUUCUGUCUAUAAGACACCCCCUAUUUUGGGGGACUCAGAUUUAAGAAAAUGGGGGGAGAUGGCCCUGUGUAUAAGAUGCCCCCUAACUUUUGAUAUUAUUUUUUAGGGGGGGAAACUAGUCUUAUACACAGAAAAAUACGGUAGUUGCUAUCACCGUGGCUAGUAACCAUUGCGAUGUUGUUGUUGUUUUGCUAUGCUAUUAUGAAACUGUUAGGAUGCUAUUGUUUUGCUAUGUUGUUAUGAAAUUGACUUUGUUGUGUUUAUUUGAAAUACAUCCCUGUUUCUUUGUUGCAAGCCGCUUUGAGCAAGGAUUUUUUUUUUGGCGGGGGGUAGAAAAUCGACACAAAAAUAAAACAGAUAAAUGGGUGGAUAUUUGCUCAUGUAAAUGUCCCUGGCCAGAGGUCUGCAGCACCCGGCACACACAUCAUCACAAUGGAUCAGAAAAUCUACAAAUACCAAUACGGUGGUACCUCAGAUUAAGUACUUAAUUCGUUCCGGAGGUCCGUACUUAACCUGAAACUGUUCUUAACCUGAAGCACCACUUUAGCUAAUGGGGCCUCCUGCCGCUGCUGCGCCACCGGAGCACAAUUUUUGUUCUCAUCCUGAAGCAAAGUUCUUAACCUGAAGCACUAUUUCUGGGUUAGUGAAGUCUGUAACCUGAAGCAUCUGUAACCUGAAGCGUAUGUAACCCGAGGUACCACUGUAACUGUAGAGGCAGGUUGCAUUACAAGAAGACCCAAUGGGUUUCUUGCUGGAUCCAACUCCUUGUGAGGGUUUAUACUCAACAAAAGGAACAAUUCAAUCAUUUAAACUAUGCAAUACAAACUUUUUUUAAAGGCGUCUUUAAUGACUCUGGUGCUAACCAAUAUCAAAUGUUUCCCCUGCUGAAGACCCAAAUGCUGGCAGCCAGACUGUGACCUUCUACGAAAUGUGGUUUUACACUCUGUUACUAAGCAUGUGAUAAAUUUGCCUAGAUUAGGGAUGGGGGAACUUGGUGUCUAACAACACCUGCAAGGCCAAAGCUCCCAUCAGGCUCAGCCAGAAUGGCCAAUGGCAAGGGGUGGCACGACUCACAGUCCAAAACCUGGAGGGUCACAUGAUCCACAUCCCUGGCCUACUCCUUGUUUACCAAGCGUAAUGAACACCUUGGCAGAGACAAUAGGCUCAGGUGACUUUUCUAUGAAGACGCAGGUUAGGACGACAAUAAGCCUAUAUUUGUUUUGUUAAAAGCACCUUUGGGGACAUUCGUUUUGCCAGCAGAAUACAGUGGUACCUCAGGUUUAGUACUUAAUUCGUUCCGGAGGUCCGUUCUUAACCUGAAACUGUUCUUAACCUGAAGCACCACUUUAGCUAAUGGGGCCUCCUGCUGCCGCCGCACCGCCAGAGCAUGAUUUCUGUUCUCAUCCUGAAGCAAAGUUCUUAACCUGAAGCACUAUUUCUGGGUUAGCGGAGUCUGUAACCUGAAGCGUAUGUAACCUGAAGUGUAUGUAACCCAAGGUACCACUGUAUAUCCCCUGUCGUUCACAGUCAUGUGAAUGGUAAACCCCAACAGGAAAUGGUUAACUGAUCAGAAAAAAGCAAGCCCCUUUUUCCUCUUAUAUGGAGUUCUCAUUAAUCCAGUACAGUAUAAGGUAGCACUUUGCUUACAUUGCAUCUGCCUCUCUGUUGUUAUGUAAUAACUGGGCCAAUUACCACCCAACAAUCGACUUGCCAGAUUGUGCACUCGGGUGCCCUUUUUUUUUUUUUUACCUCCAACUGAGAACAGCCCUCUGCAGUCACUGCUGCAAUCACAGCUUUGCAGUUCCCUUGAAACCCAGCAGGGAAAAAGGAAGGUGGGGAGGGGGGUGGAAUCUCAUGCAUGGGUAAAGAUAGGCAGUCAAGCAGGUACUGCAUGAGACUGGUGGAUAAAGGUUGCCAUCUCCUUCUGCAGGGCUUUUAGGAGACAAGAUCCUGCAAAUCGGUCCCCGGUGAAUGCAAAGCCCGAAUGUCUGAAUGUUGCUUAGAUGUGUCUUGGAUAAAAUCAUAUCCAGCAGCUUUGGUGGUGGGCCAAUGGGGGGGGGGACGAGACACAGGGGUGCCCAGACAGAGGUAGGGCAUGAAGCACAAGAGUCAGAAGCCACCACCGGUGCAAUACACUGAAGCCAAGGCCGCACAUCUGUGCUCAGCAACCCAAAUACAACCAGCAGGAGGGAAACACUUCCUCUGUGGUCAGUCAUUUGCACUCAACUCAUGGGGGGCUGCAGGGAGAGGAGCUUACAGCGCAAUCCUACCCAUCAGUAGUAAGCCCCAAUGCAUUCAUUCAGUGGGGUUUGCUCCCAGGUAAGCCUUAGCCUUCCCCUGCCAGACUAGCAGCUGCCCACCCUUCCUGACACCAAGAGACACAACCACAUAACUCAGAGACCUCCUUCGGACCCACCAGCAAAAUAAACGAAGCCUGGCUACACCAAGCAGAGGAGCAGCGCAUCCCCAACAAGGCUCCUUGAUCAGAUAGAUCACUGCAGCAGCGGAGGGCAGCAGGCUCCUGGCAACAUUUCCCCAACAAGCACAGGGUGAAAGGCACCGCCAGCCUCUCCGCACACAAGCGGUAUGCAAGGGGAAAACUGCACAUAUUUGCAAGUGAAGCUGCAUAGGGAGGCCUGGUCACUUUGCAACUUGGUGUGCCUCACUUCUCUGCCUCCUUCUCUCUCCCCUCCCCCCCUCCCUUUUUUUUUUUUUUUUUUUUUGCAAGAUCAUUCGCCCACCUGAGACUUGUUUUUGGCCCUCCUGUGGCCAGCAGGCCUCCUCAAACAUUCCCUCAACACACACACACCGCUGCCCUCCCCGGCGCACGCUCCAGCCCCCUAUGGACCACCGACAUCAACACCACCUUUGCGCAGGCCUUCCUGGGCGCAAGGCGCGGAGAGGGUUAACAGCCGCCGAUUGACACCGCAAGAGGUUACUUCAGGCACCCAGGCAUCAGCCUUGCAAGAGGAGCCACCUCGCAGGCUCAAACCCACCCAGGGGAGACACACACACACACAAACACACACUUGACAACAGUCCCGAAAGGCAGCGAGGAGCGUCCUGUUAAAAUAAAUAAAUAUAAAGGAAGAAAAGCAACCUGACACCUCUUCAGAAGCCCAGGCAAAAUGGAAUCUGCUGCUGCUGCUGCUGCCUCCCUCCACCAGCGAGGAACAGCGGCUGCGGCAGCAACAGCAAUAGUCAAAACACACACAACGGCACGAGGGGGCAGCGAGAUAAAUGGGCGAAACACCAUCGCCUUACCUUGGCUGUCUGGCUGCAAGCAGAGCCCGAUCCCCUCCACUUUUGCGAUUCUCACGAUGCUGGCAAUUUCCUGAGAGGCUCUGCAGCCUCGCUCUCCCCUCCUGGAGGAAGCGUUCCGCUGAGCUGCCGGGUAGCUUAUUUCCUAUUCUUUUUAAUAACACCUGUUUUGAAAAGAGGUGGCGGUGUGGGGAGAGGGAGG